CCCGGAACUGCCAAUAGCCAUGGAUAAAAGAAAACUCCAAAAAAAGUACUUUCUUCCCUAGCUAAUUGACCAGAAAUGGGGUGUCCCAAGAAAAGAUGAAAAAAUUGUAUCUAGAACAUGACAUUAAUGUAAAAAUACUUACAUAUUUUAUGGAUAUUGUAGAAGCAAAAAUUGACAUUUUGCUUUGCUUCCAACAUCACUAAGCACUUAAAGUGUAAUAAUAUAAAAAAAAACUACAAAAAGUGACAUUAAAUAAAAAGGCUAAAUAAAGGCACACACUAAAUUUGAAUCCAAACUUUAAAAAAAAAUCUACCUAUGUGAAAAUGAUAAUACAACCACCCUGGGAACCAAAGAAAGCAAUUAUUUAUUUUAAGACAGUGUCUCACUCUGUCACCCAGGCUGGAGUGCAUUGGCAGGAUCUCAGCUCACUGCAACCUCCAUCUCCUGGGUUCAAGUGAUUCUUGUGCCUCAGUUUCCCAGGUAGCUGGGAUUACAGGCACGUGCCACCAAGCGCAGCUAACUUUUGUACUUUUUUUUAGUGGAGAUGGCAUCUCGGCCUGUUGGCCAGGCUGGUCUAGAAAUCCUGACCUCAGGUGAUCUGCCCGCCUCGCCCUCCCAAAGUGUUGGGAUUACAGGUGUGAGCCACCACACUCAGCCAAUUAUUUAAGUAUUUUUUGAUGAAAGCCUCUGUACAAACUCAGUGCUAUAUAUUCUAAGAACAAGAAGAAUGGCAAAAUAUCUUGAACUUACUAUGUU
rnacentral:lncRNA from 10 species